GAUGAACGCUGGCGGCGUGCCUAAUACAUGCAAGUCGAGCGAACAGACGAGGAGCUUGCUCCUCUGACGUUAGCGGCGGACGGGUGAGUAACACGUGGAUAACCUACCUAUAAGACUGGGAUAACUUCGGGAAACCGGAGCUAAUACCGGAUAAUAUAUUGAACCGCAUGGUUCAAUAGUGAAAGACGGUUUUGCUGUCACUUAUAGAUGGAUCCGCGCCGCAUUAGCUAGUUGGUAAGGUAACGGCUUACCAAGGCGACGAUGCGUAGCCGACCUGAGAGGGUGAUCGGCCACACUGGAACUGAGGCACGGUCCAGACUCCUACGGGAGGCAGCAGUAGGGAAUCUUCCGCAAUGGGCGAAAGCCUGACGGAGCAACGCCGCGUGAGUGAUGAAGGUCUUCGGAUCGUAAAACUCUGUUAUUAGGGAAGAACAAAUGUGUAAGUAACUAUGCACGUCUUGACGGUACCUAAUCAGAAAGCCAUGGCUAACUACGUG
rnacentral:rRNA from 1 species